rnacentral:rRNA from 1 species
AUUGAACGCUGGCGGCAGGCCUAACGCAUGCAAGUCGAGCGGGGUUUUCGGACCUAGCGGCGGACGGGUGAGUAAUGCGUAGGAAGCUGCCCGAUAGAGGGGGAUACCAGUUGGAAACGACUGUUAAUACCGCAUAAUGUCUACGGACCAAAGUGUGGGACCUUCGGGCCACAUGCUAUCGGAUGCGCCUACGUGGGAUUAGCUAGUUGGUGAGGUAAUGGCUCACCAAGGCGACGAUCUCUAGCUGGUUUGAGAGGAUGAUCAGCCACACUGGAGCUGAGACACGGUCCAGACUCCUACGGGAGGCAGCAGUGGGGAAUAUUGGACAAUGGGCGCAAGCCUGAUCCAGCCAUGCCGCGUGUGUGAAGAAGGCCUUCGGGUUGUAAAGCACUUUCAGCGAGGAGGAAGGGUGGUGUGUUAAUAGCACAUCAUUUUGACGUUACUCGCAGAAGAAGCACCGGCUAACUCUGUGCCAGCCGCCGCCGUAAGAC